rnacentral:rRNA from 1 species
UACGUAGGUGGCAAGCGUUGUCCGGAAUUACUGGGUGUAAAGGGAGCGUAGGCGGGCAGGCAAGUCAGGCGUGAAAUAUAUCGGCUCAACCGGUAACGGCGCUUGAAACUGCAGGUCUUGAGUGAAGUAGAGGUUGGCGGAAUUCCUAGUGUAGCGGUGAAAUGCGUAGAUAUUAGGAGGAACACCAGUGGCGAAGGCGGCCAACUGGGCUUUUACUGACGCUGAGGCUCGAAAGUGUGGGGAGCAAACAGGAUUAGAUACCCUGGUAGUCCACACCGUAAACGAUGAUUACUAGGUGUGGGGGGACUGACCCCUUCCGUGCCGGAGUUAACACAAUAAGUAAUCCACCUGGGGAGUACGGCCGCAAGGUUGAA